UGGGGACUAUUGCACAAUGGGCGCAAGCCUGAUGCAGCCAUGCCGCGUGUAUGAAGAAGGCCUUCGGGUUGUAAAGUACUUUCAGCGGGGAGGAAGGUGUUGUGGUUAAUAACCACAGCAAUUGACGUUAACCGCAGAAGAAGCACCGGCUAACUCCGUGCCAGCAGCCGCGGUAAUACGGAGGGUGCAAGCGUUAAUCGGAAUUACUGGGCGUAAAGCGCACGCAGGCGGUCUGUCAAGUCGGAUGUGAAAUCCCCGGGCUCAACCUGGGAACUGCAUCCGAAACUGGCAGGCUUGAGUCUUGUAGAGGGGGGUAGAAUUCCAGGUGUAGCGGUGAAAUGCGUAGAGAUCUGGAGGAAUACCGGUGGCGAAGGCGGCCCCCUGGACAAAGACUGACGCUCAGGUGCGAAAGCGUGGGGAGCAAACA
rnacentral:rRNA from 1 species